rnacentral:rRNA from 1 species
AUACGGGGGGUGCAAGCGUUAAUCGGAAUUACUGGGCGUAAAGCGCGCGUAGGCGGUUUGCUCAGUCGGAUGUGAAAGCCCAGGGCUCAACCUUGGAACUGCAUACGAUACUGGCAAACUAGAGUGUGUGAGAGGAUAGUGGAAUUUCCGGUGUAGCGGUGAAAUGCGUAGAUAUCGGAAGGAACAUCAGUGGCGAAGGCGACUGUCUGGCUCAACACUGACGCUGAGGUGCGAAAGCGUGGGUAGCAAACAGAAUUAGAUACCCUAGUAGUCC